UUCAAAUCAAAAAGUUCAUCUUCCUCCAAUAUUUCUCUUUCUAAACUCAAGGAAGAAGAAGAAGGCAUGGAAGCUUGGGUUUGAGGAUUUCAAAAGAGCUUUUUCAUCAAUUUUCUUCAAGGUUUAUUAAUAUAGGGCAUCUUCACUCGACUGUUGAUAAAUCUCGCUUAGGAGAUCAGUGAUCUUUCGAAUUCAAGGGUGACUAGUUCUUCCGGGCUGCCUUGAGUUCUCUUUUGUUUAAGUCUACUAUUUUUUGACUCAGACUAUUGUUAAGGUACUGUUUAGUUUUGGGGAUUGUACCCCUUGUUCUUAGACUUAUCGUAAUUUUUAAAAUUACUCAGGUUGUAGGCGUA